rnacentral:rRNA from 4 species
GCCCCGGUAAACGGCGGCCGUAACUAUAACGGUCCUAAGGUAGCGAAAUUCCUUGUCGGGUAAGUUCCGACCUGCACGAAUGGCGUAAUGAUGGCCAGGCUGUCUCCACCCGAGACUCAGUGAAAUUGAACUCGCUGUGAAGAUGCAGUGUACCCGCGGCAAGACGGAAAGACCCCGUGAACCUUUACUAUAGCUUGACACUGAACAUUGAGCCUUGAUGUGUAGGAUAGGUGGGAGGCUUUGAAGUGUGGACGCCAGUCUGCAUGGAGCCGACCUUGAAAUACCACCCUUUAAUGUUUGAUGUUCUAACGUUGGCCCGUAAUCCGGGUUGCGGACAGUGUCUGGUGGGUAGUUUGACUGGGGCGGUCUCCUCCUAAAGAGUAACGGAGGAGCACGAAGGUUGGCUAAUCCUGGUCGGACAUCAGGAGGUUAGUGCAAUGGCAUAAGCCAGCUUGACUGCGAGCGUGACGGCGCGAGCAGGUGCGAAAGCAGGUCAUAGUGAUCCGGUGGUUCUGAAUGGAAGGGCCAUCGCUCAACGGAUAAAAGGUACUCCGGGGAUAACAGGCUGAUACCGCCCAAGAGUUCAUAUCGACGGCGGUGUUUGGCACCUCGAUGUCGGCUCAUCACAUCCUGGGGCUGAAGUAGGUCCCAAGGGUAUGGCUGUUCGCCAUUUAAAGUGGUACGCGAGCUGGGUUUAGAACGUCGUGAGACAGUUCGGUCCCUAUCUGCCGUGGGCGCUGGAGAACUGAGGGGGGCUGCUCCUAGUACGAGAGGACCGGAGUGGACGCAUCACUGGUGUUCGGGUUGUCAUGCCAAUGGCACUGCCCGGUAGCUAAAUGCGGAAGAGAUAAGUGCUGAAAGCAUCUAAGCACGAAACUUGCCCCGAGAUGAGUUCUCCCUGAGACUUAGAGUCUCCUGAAGGAACGUUGAAGACGACGACGUUGAUAGGCCGGGUGUGUAAGCGCAGCGAUGCGUUGAGCUAACCGGUACUAAUGAACCGUGAGGCUUAACCUUACAACGCCGAAG